rnacentral:rRNA from 1 species
GAUGAACGCUGGCGGCGUGCCUAAUACAUGCCAGUAGAACGCUGAAGGAGGAGCUUGCUCUUCUGGAUGAGUUGCGAACGGGUGAGUAACGCGUAGGUAACCUGCCUGGUAGCGGGGGAUAACUAUUGGAAACGAUAGCUAAUACCGCAUGACAACAGUUAUUGCAUGAUAACUGUUUAAAAGGGGCAACUGCUCCACUACCAGAUGGACCUGCGUUGUAUUAGCUAGUUGGUGAGGUAACGGCUCACCAAGGCGACGGUACAUAGCCGACCUGGGAGGGUGAUCGGCCACACUGGGACUGAGACACGGCCCAGACUCCUACGGGAGGCAGCAGUAGGGAAUCUUCGGCAAUGGACGGAAGUCUGACCGAGCAACGCCGCGUGAGUGAAGGAAGUUUUCGGAUCGUAAAGCUCUGUUGUAAGAGAAGAACGAGUGUUAGAGUGGAAAGUUCACACUGUGACGGUAUCUUACCAGAAAGGGACGGCUAACUACGUG